rnacentral:rRNA from 1 species
CCUACGGGGUGCAGCAGUGAGGAAUAUUGGUCAAUGGGCGCGAGCCUGAACCAGCCAAGUCGCGUGAGGGAGGACGGCCCUACGGGUUGUAAACCUCUUUGGCCGGGAAGCACCGGGCGCCACUUGUGGCGUCACUGAGAGUACCCGGAGAAAAAGCAUCGGCUAACUCCGUGCCAGCAGCCGCGGUACUACGGAGGAUGCGAGCGUUAUCCGGAUUUGUUGGGUUUAAAGGGUGCGUAGGCGGAUAGUUAAGUCAGUGGUAAAAUUGAGGGGCUAAACCCCUUCCCGCCAUUGAAACUGGCGUUCUUGAGUGGAAGAGAAGUAGGCGGAAUGCGUGGUGUAGAGGUGAAAUGCAUAGAGAUCACGCAGAACCCUGAUUGCGAAGGCAGCAUGCCGGCUUCCGACUGACGCUGAAGCACGAAAGCGUGGGGAUCGAACAGGAUUAGAUACCCGAGUAGUC